UGCUAUACGAAGAGAAAUAAUAGAGAUGAAAAAAGUUGUGGCCACCAGGGAUCGAACCUGGGUUUGCUGUGAGGAAGACAUGCGCACGUGGUCUGGUGCUCAUGACUCUUUAAGUUCUGGUAGCUUAAUAACCGUACUGGAGGACGACUUUGACAGAAAAGAUCCGAACCGGUUUUUUCACUUAUGAGUGACAUAGUGGGUAAUUUAAGCCAACUUCGAGGAUAAUUUUAAUGACGGAUGACAAAAGCAGUAGCUGCUUUAUUAUUAGGGAGAGAAAGAUACCCAGAGUAGUUGAGAGUUAUGACGUGGUUGGUUAAUUUUUGCGUGCAUACUUGUCCUAGUAGGUCGGGCGAGAAAAAAAAAGGCAAAAAAACUGUAUCUGUACAUAGUAUGGUAGCCUGCAUGUAGGCUGUCAUCAUUAGGGGAGUAAUUUUUACAUGGCGUUUGGUGUACUACAUUGGUUGGGCUAAUGCAAUUGCACGGUUGUGGGUUGCAUGCAUUGAAUAUAAUUAAUAGUUAACAACUACACAUAACACACAAAACUGAGUUCAAUGUCGAUUACGGUGGACGAUGGUCGCGGCACCGUGUCCGAUAUGAUGAGGAUGGAGUCUUGGGUGGGCGACCCCGUUGGAGACGCCGCGAGUAGCAUCAUCGCCACAGAGAAAGUCCAUGCAGAAUAAUAAAUAGGAGGGUGCUGAGGCAGAAAAUGAUGGAGGAAAAAUGCGGGCGAUGUCCCAUGACGAUGGCUUCGCAAGAGGAGGCCAAACAGAAGGACGUCAGAGUAAAACGUGAGUGAGGAGCUCGAGAGGGACCACGUCAGCGGUAGCUUCAGUGUAGCGGGAUGUGUGAGAGAAGGCGGAGAGGAAUGCUGACCGCACGAGAGUAGUAGCACGCGGGAGAGGAGGUUAAGAGAAACAACUGCGCUAGUGCAACAACACGUGGGACAUGAGGCUGAGUGUAACGAUGUUGAUGGUUACGAUUAGUGUAGUGGGACAUGGGAGAUAUACCACUGGUUGGAAGAGAUUAGAGAGUGUCAUGAAAACAGAUC
rnacentral:lncRNA from 1 species